GCGGCCGCUCUGUUUGUUCCCGCCAGAGGUUACUGCUAUCGAGGUUCGACUAAGCCAUGCGAGUCGAAUGUAGCAAUACAUGGCGUACUGCUCAGUAACACGUGGACAACCUACCCUUCGGUCGGGGAUAAACCCGGGAAACUGGGUAUAAUACCCGAUAGAGCUCGAAUGCUGGGAUGCGUUGAGCUCGAAAGCUCCGGUGCCUAAGGAUGGGUCUGCGGCCUAUCAGGGUAGUAGUGGGUGUAACGUACCUACUAGCCUACGACGGGUACGGGUUGUGAGAGCAAGAGCCCGGAGAUGGAUUCUGAGACACGAGUCCCAGGCCCUACGGGGUGCAGCAGGCGCGAAAACUUUACAAUGCCGGCAACGGCGAUAAGGGAACCUCGAGUGCCAGGUUACAAAUCUGGCUGUCGUGAUGCCUAAAAAGCAUUGCAUAGCAAGGGCCGGGCAAGACCGGUGCCAGCCGCCGCGGUAACACCGGCGGCUCGAGUGGUAACCGUUAUUAUUGGGUCUAAUGGGUCUGUAGCCGGCUGGAUAAGUCUCUUGGGAAAUCCGGCAGCUCAACUGUCGGGCUUUCAGGAGAUACUGUCCGGCUCGAGACCGGGAGAGGUGAGAGGUACUUCAGGGGUAGGGGUGAAAUCUUGUAAUCCUUGAAGGACCACCAGUGUGCGAAGGCGUCUCACCAGAACUGGAUCUGACGGCAAGGGACGAUAAGCUAGGGGCACGAACCGGAUUAGAUACCCGGGUAGUCCUAGCCGUAAACGAUACUCGCUAGGUGUCGGCCACGGUGCGACCGUGGUCGGUGCCGUAGGGAAGCCGUGAAGCGAGCCACCUGGGAAGUACGGCCGCAAGGCUGAAACUUAAAGGAAUUGGCGGGGGAGCACUACAACGGGUGGAGCUUGCGGUUUAAUUGGAUUCAACGCGGGAAAUCUCACCGGGACCGACAGCAAUAUGAAGGCCAGGCUGAAGACCUUGCCGGAUUAGCUGAGAGGUGGUGCAUGGCCGUCGUCAGUUCGUACCGUGAAGCAUCCUGUUAAGUCAGGCAACGAGCGAGACCC
rnacentral:rRNA from 1 species